AUGGGGAGAUGGCUAGUCAGGGGUUCUCUAACGGUUCUAUUGGUUUGGUGAGGAGUCCGAUCUCGAAUUCUGUCUCUGGGGAUUCGUUGAAUCUUGGAAUUCGUGAACCUGUCUAUGAGGUUGUGGAAGUAAGGUCAGAUGGGAAUGUAUCUACCA